AUGUUCUAACCCUGUAUUUCUGGAGGUUUAACUGAUCCCAGUUAGACUGAAGUGAUACCAGCCGGGUUUAACGGAUCCCAGCCAGGUUUAACCAAUCCCAGCCAGGUUUAACCGAUCCCAGCCAGGUUUAACCGAUCCCAGCAAGGUUUAACCGAUCCCAGCCAGGUUUAACGGAUCCCAGGCGGGUUUAACGGAUCCCAGCC